GUGCACCAGUCGAGAAACCUCCGCAAUGCGGGAAACCGCGACGGGGGGACCCCGAGUGCCGUGGCAACGCCACGGCUUUUCCGGAGUGUAAAAAAGCUCCGGGAAUAAGGGCUGGGCAAGGCCGGUGGCAGCCGCCGCGGUAAUACCGGCGGCCCGAGUGGUGGCCGCUAUUAUUGGGCCUAAAGCGUCCGUAGCCGGGCCCGUAAGUCCCUGGCGAAAUCCCACGGCUCAACCGUGGGGCUUGCUGGGGAUACUGCGGGUCUUGGGACCGGGAGAGGCGGGGGGUACCCCUGGGGUAGGGGUGAAAUCCUAUAAUCCCAGGGGGACCGCCAGUGGCGAAGGCGCCCCGCUGGAACGGGUCCGACGGUGAGGGACGAAGGCCAGGGGAGCAAACCGGAUUAGAUACCCCCGUAGU
rnacentral:rRNA from 1 species